UACGUAGGGACCAAGCGUUGUUCGGAUUUACUGGGCGUAAAGCGUACGCAGACGGUGAGAAAGGUCGGAUGUGAAAGCCCCGGGCUCAACCCGGGAACUGCAUCCGAAACCAUCUCGCUCGAGUGUGGGAGAGGGAAGCGGAAUUCCUGGUGUAGAGGUGAAAUUCGUAGAUAUCAGGAGGAACACCGGCGGCGAAGGCGGCUUCCUGGCCCAUUACUGACGUUCAGGUACGAAAGCGUGGGUAGCAAACAGG
rnacentral:rRNA from 1 species